rnacentral:rRNA from 1 species
GAUGAACGCUGGCGGCGUGCUUAACACAUGCAAGUCGAACGGAAAGGCUCCUGCUUGCAGGGGUACUCGAGUGGCGAACGGGUGAGUAACACGUGGGUGAUCUGCCCUGCACUUCGGGAUAAGCCUGGGAAACUGGGUCUAAUACCGGAUAGGACGAUGGUUUGGAUGCCAUUGUGGAAAGUUUUUUCGGUGUGGGAUGAGCUCGCGGCCUAUCAGCUUGUCGGUGGGGUAAUGGCCUACCAAGGCGUCGACGGGUAGCCGGCCUGAGAGGGUGUACGGCCACAUUGGGACUGAGAUACGGCCCAGACUCCUACGGGAGGCAGCAGUGGGGAAUAUUGCACAAUGGGCGCAAGCCUGAUGCAGCGACGCCGCGUGGGGGAUGACGGCCUUCGGGUUGUAAACUCCUUUCGCUAGGGACGAAGCGCAAGUGACGGUACCUGGAGAAGAAGCACCGGCUAACUACGUG